rnacentral:lncRNA from 1 species
GGAUCGAUGAUGAGAAUAAUUGUCUGAGGAUGCUGAGGGACUCAUUCCAGAUGUCAAUCUGAGGUCCAGAUGUGUGGCCCUCCAAUAGGACAAAUAAGACUCUCAGAGCCUGGCUCUAUUUGGGGAUCCCUCAGUGACAACAUAGUACCUCUGUGAGCGUGCCUUUUCUAUCUCUCCGAAGAGGGCAUUAGCAUCCUGUCUUAUGAGUCAGUAUGCACUUUAGUAUGGUUAGUGACCCAAGACUCACUUUAUUUUGUUCAUUUUGAGCAGAGAAUUGUAGAUAGAUACAUAUAUGGGAAAUAUGUUCUUGAUUAACAAAUGAAAAAAUGAAAAAGUUUCAGUCAAGAAAGGUCAAGGAACUGUGAUGUAUAGUGAAGGCAGGGAACACUGCAUGCCUGUAUUAAAUAUUGACAAAGGAACCAAUUUUAGUGCUUUGUUAUUUUUACUGUUGAGUAUUUUCUGAGACCAUUUCUUUUUCUUCUAUUUUGUUUUGCUGAGGUAGAGGAGGGCUGGAAUGAGGUCCUCCACUUCAGAAAAUAGGGGUGAGUAGUUAAACCAACAUCCUUUGGAAUUCAUAUACGUCAUGCGUUCCAUGCCACAUCCUGAGAUCUUUUUGUUGAUUUUUUUAGUGGCUUACUGGAUAAUAUCUAAAUACUGUAUAUUUUACUUUGGUGAGUCUCUCCACCUUCAUUUCUGAAUCAUUGUCCUUUACAUUUUUAUUCUAUUUGAAUUUUGCAUGAAAUGACAAAUGUAGAAUUUUGCCCAAUUUAUUUUAUUUAUUCAUUUAUUUAUUUGGGAAGACAAAGUCUCUCUCUGUCACCCAGGCUGGAGUACAUUGGCCCAGUCAGAGCUCACUUCAGCUCUUCACCCUGUAGCCCUUAACUCCUGGGCUCAAGUGAUCCUCCACCCUCAGCCUCCCAAGUAUCUAGGAAUACAGUUGUCAUGGGAGGCCAGCCGCCUGCUGGCAAGGAAGAUGGUUGAUUCUUCUGAUCAAUGGAGGCCCUGCAGAGUCCUGUAGUCACUGUGGCCUGGCAUCCAUGGUGCACCCAAUGCUGGUGGAUGGCUUAGGACGAGGCAGUUGCUGUGGGAGGUGUGGUAACUGCUGGAAGGAAGAUGCUCAAUUCUUCUGAGCAACGAAGGCCACACGGAGUCCUGGAUUCUGUGUGGCCUGGCAUCCAUGGCGCACUGUGUGCUGGCAGGUGGCUCAGGACGGUAAGCAUUUCUCUGCCCAGUAUGCUGAAUGAGGGUGUCUUUCGGAUUUCCAAGACCCGCAAGGAGCAGUUUCUCAGCUAACCACUAAUGGCAUGGCGAGUUCCUCUCCUAGAGUGGAUAGUCUGUGCUCAUUGCUCAGUGGCAUCGCUCUAGUGGGGCCGAAGGUCUUUAAGGUCAUUGGCUCACCCACUGCCCAGCCUGUGGUGUCAAAUAUCCUGCCCCUUGCCCCUUCAAAUGUGCUUGGAUCGAUGAUGAGUCCCCAAAAAAAACAUUCCUUGGAAAAGCUGAACAAAAUGAGUGAAAACUCAUACCGUCAUUCUCAUCGGAACUGAGGUCCAGCACGUUGCCUUCCCCGGGGACUGUAGGAGUGAGGGACAACUUCCACUGAUUCCCAUAGGUUCCACCACCCAAGGCAUCCACAGCCAAAGUCUCCCAUCAAAUGCUCAUUAGGAACAUUCCCUUUUUGUGAGGUACACAGGUAGGAGAGUCCUGGGGGGAACGGCUGCUCUGUGAUGGCCUGGUGGCCAUGGAAGCAGACAGAAAUAUCGCAGGCCUAGGGUAGUGUGCGCCUGAUCUUGGCUUGGUGAGCUCCUAGGAAGGGAGACGCGGACCUCGUGGCAGGCGUCUCUGAGCAGAGGACUGAGUCCUUGUUUUCUUGCCGGGGAGAGCACAAGGCCCAGGCCUCAGGCAGAUGUUGGUCCUGAUUUUUGAUUAGCUGAGGACAAGGGAGUGCCAAGGGUGAUGGGGGACAGUGUAUAACAAAGGGUGUUGUGACAGAGAGCCAAAGCCUCUUUGGCCCUCCACCCAGCAUCCAGUCAUGGAGGCCCCCCAGCAGGGAUUUCUUCAUCCCCUGAGCCGUGAGAUGCCCCUGGUGCUAUGGUGGAAGCCUGGACUGGAAGUGGAUGACAAGUUGGCCAGCAGAGGUGUCAGAGGGCAGGUUCCAGGGAAUACAAGGGUCAGACUUGUGCUCCUGGCCCUUGGUCACUUCUCGUCUUCCUGACAGAGUAGUGGGCUCCACUGUUGGGCACAUCUUCCUGGAAGUCGUCUCUUGGCCCGCCAUUGCCGAGCGGCCACACCUGCUGCAGCUCGUGUGAGCAAAUAUGGCUCUGGAUCCUCUUUCCUGCUUUGAAAGCAGCUUCCAUCCUGAAGGCGUCCAGAGGGGGCAGUUAUCAUGGGACACCCGCCAUAUGCUGGCAAGGAAGAUGGUCAGUUCUUCUGAGCCACAAAGGCCCCCAACAUCCUGGAGUUGGUGUUGCCUAGCAUCCACGGUGCGCCCCCUGCUGGUGGAUGGCUCAGGAUGGGGCAGUUGCCGUGGGAGGCCCGCUGCCUGCUGGAAGGAAGAUGGUCAGUUCUUCUGAACCACAAAGGCCCUGCAGAGUCCUGGAGUCUGUGUGGCCUGGCUUCCAGGGUUCACCUCAUGCUGGUGGAUUGCUCAGGAUGGGUGCCGAAGGUCUUUAAGGUCGUCAGCUCACCUACUGCCCAGCCUGUGGUGUCAAAUGUCCUGCCUCUUCAAAUGUGUUUGGAUCGAUGAUGAGUCCCCCCAAAAAAACAUUCCUUGGAAAAGCUGAACAAAAUGAGUGAAAACUCAUACCGUCGUUCUCAGCGGAACUGAGGUCCAGCGCGUUGCCUCCAGCAGGGACUGUUGGAGUGAGGGAGAGCUUCCACUAGUCCCUAUAGGUUCCACCACCCAGGGCAUCCGCAGGGACAGUUGCCGUGGGAGGUCCGCUGCCUGCUGUCAAGGAAGAUGGUCGAUGCUUCUGAGAAACAGGCCCUGCGGGUUCCUGGAUUUGGUGUGGCCUGGCAUCCACGGUGCACCCCGUGCUGGCGGGUGGCCCAGGACGGGGCAGUUGCCUUGAGAGGCCCACCGCCUGCUGGCAUGACAGAUGGUCAGUUCUUCCGAGCAGUGGAAUCUCCAUGGAGUCGUGGAGUCGGUGUGGCCUCGCAUCCACAGUGCACCCUGUGCUGGUGGAUGGCUCAGGACAGGGCAGUUGCCGUGGGAGGCCUGCCGUCUGCUGAAAGGAAGAUGGUUGAUGCUUCUGAGCAAUGAAGGCCCCAUGGAGUCCUGGAUUCGGUGUGGCCUUGCAUCCGUGGUGCACCCCGUGCUGGUGGAUGGCUCAGGACGGGGCAGUUGCCAUGGGAGGCGCAGGCCUGCUGGAAGGAAGAUGGUCGAUUCUCCCAAGCAACAAAGGCCACGUAGAGUCCUGGUUUCAGUGUGGCCUGGUAUCCACAGUGCACCCCGUGCUGGUGGGUGGCUCAGGACGCACACUCAUUUCCUCUGCACCUUCCUGGUGUCAUUGGCAUGGAAGGAAGGCCCUUGUCCAAGAAGGAUGGUCUUCGUCUUGUGUGAUCUUUGAGAUGCCAUGAGGCCCCUGGAUACAAAUGGUGUGGGCUCCUUUGGAGGCUUUUGGAUUUCUCCUGAAUGUGGCGUUGGUAUGGAAGGAAGGCCAGUGACCGCAAGGGAUGACUUUGAUCUUGGGAGAUUUUUGGAGAUGGCAAAGUGCUUCUAAACAUGUUUGGCAUGGUCUCCUUCAGGCUGGUGGAUACCUCAGGAUGGUGGCGUUGGCAUGGAAGGAAGGACUGUGUCUGUGAGGGAUGAUCAUCCUCUCAUGUGAUCCUUGGAGAUGCCAGGAAGCCCCUUGACACAUGUGGCAUGGGCUCCUUCAGAGGCUUUUGGAUCCGUCGUGAAUGUGGCAUGGGCAUGCAAAGAAAGACAGAGGCUGCAAGGGAUAAACUUCAUCUUGGGAGAUCCCUGGAGAUGGCAGGGAACCCAUGGACACAUGUGGCAUGGGCUCCUUUGGGUGCCGGUGGAUCCCUUCAUACGGUAAAGCCAGAGUUGGGUAUCAACCAGAUACACUGCAGGGGAUCAGAGGACAUGGCCUUUGUGUACUGCACAUCUGUCAGAUUUUCUCAAGCACACCCGUGUUUCCUCUUCACCUCCCACGUGGAAGUGAUGAAUUGGCCAGGACCAUGUUGGUGAGGGACAAUCAUCAUCUCAUGUUAACCUCAGAGAAGCCAGGAAGCUCCUGGACACACAUGGUGUAGGCUUCCUUGGAGGCUGUUGGAUCUCUCCUGAAUGUAGUGUUGGUGUAAAAGGCAAACCCGUGUCAUGAGGGAUGGUCAUCAUCUUGUGUGAUCCUUGGAGAUGGCAGGAAGCCCUGGACAUACAUGGUGUGGGGGCUCCUCCAGAGGCUGUUGGGAUCCUCCUGGAUGUGGUGUGGGCAUGGAAGGAAGGCCAGUGGAGACAAUGGAUGAUCUUGUUCUUAGCAGAUCACUGGAUGUGGCAGGGAGUCCUAGGACAUGUGUGGUGUGGGCUUCUUCAGGUGCUGGUGGUGUUGGCAUGAGGAAAGGAGGUAUCUUCGAGGGACAAUCUUCUUCUUGUGCGAUCCUUGGAGAUGCCAUGAGGCCCCUGGACACAUGUGGUGUGGGCUCCUUUGGAGGCUGUUGUAUCCCUUCUGAAUGUGGCGUGGGCAUAGAAGGAAGGCCAGUGGCCACGAGGGACAAUCUUGGUCUUGGGAGAUCCUGGAAAUGAUAGGGAGUCCCUUGAUAUGUGUGGCAUGGGCUCCUUCAGGUGCUAGUGGAUUCCUUAGGAUGGUGGUGUUGGCAUGAAAGGCAGGCUUGUAUCAUGAGGAAUGAUUGUCAUCUUGUCUGAUUCUUGGAGAUGGCAGGAAGCCCCUGGAAACACAUGGUGUGGACUCUUUCACAGGCUGUUGAAACCCUCCUGAAUGUGAGGCCAGAGACAGGCAGACAGCAGAUGUAUUGCAGGGAGCUGGAUGACAUGGCCCUUGGAACCUGUGCACAUGCCUGCCUUUCUGAUGCACGUCCAUGUUUUCUCUGCACCUCCCCGGUGGUGUUGGUAUAAAAAGCAGGCUUACAUCAGCAAGGGAUGAUUGUCGUCUCAUGCGAUCCUGGGAGAUGGCAGAAGUCCCGGGACACAUGGAGUGUGGGCUCUUUCGGAGGCUGUUGGAUCCCUCCUGAAUGUGUUGUGGCCAUGGAAGUAAGGCCAGUGGCUACGAGGGACAGUCUUCAUCUUGGGAGAUCCCUAGAGAGGGCAGGGAGCCCCUUGACAUGUGGAAUGUGAUCUCUGUUGGGUGCUGGUGGAUCCCACAGGUGGUCUGGCAUGGAAGAAGGCCAGAGGCUGCGAUGGAUCAUCUUUGUCUUGGGAGAUUCCUGGAGAUGGUGGGGAGCCCCUGGGCACGUGCAGCAUAUGUGGCGUGGGCUUCUUCAGGUGCUGGUGGAUCCCUCAGGAUGCUUUUCAAGGUUUUUCUAUGAGUUCUGUUAAAGAGUCUGAAAAUGGAGCGUAGAAGACAUGCUUCGAUUUCCAGGAUGGUUGUGUUUUCCAGAGAGGCGGAGGUAAACCACUGGCGCAGCCCUGCCUCCCACAGAUAAUUCCGGGUGCAGUGUUUCAUAUCUAGACUUGGACUUCUAUCCUACCAUACUUCUUUGUGUGCAGUUCAUUGUGGAACCAGCACAGAUUUUCAUACGAAAGUUAUUUCUUUUUAACCUCAAAAAGUGACAGAAUGGAGUGUAUCAUGAAAAAGUCUGACAUCAAAACCUCAAAAUGUGAUAUUGAUUGGGUGAGAUAGAAUUCCAUGGAAUUUCAUUGCCAAACCAGUGAAGUGCUAAUUUUGACAUUUGUACCAGCUAACGUAGCUGUGAAGAAACACACCAAUACACUUCUAAGGACAGCAUAGACCAAGAUCUAGGUUUCAUAUGGAUGAAUUUAUUCUUCCCUUUGAGGCAAGACAAGAAGGAAAGAAAGUAUUGGGAAUAAUGCUGCCCUCCCAUCCUCAAGGGCCAGUGGGAACUCUAAUAUUGAUUGGGUGAGAUACAAUUCCAUGGAAUUUUACCACUGAACCAGUGGAGGGCUAAUUUUGUCAUUUGUACCAGUUAACUAACUUGGGAGGAAACAGAACAACACACUCCUGAGGGUAAAAUGGAAACUCUGAGAGUUUGGUUGGCGGCAUCUAUAUACCAUAGAAACAGAGCCUGGGAAGCAGAACAGUGAGACCCAAGAGAAAUGUUCCUGCCUAUACUUGAUUGGUUUUCACAGAAUUCCAUGGACUUUAACUGCUGAACCAAUGAUGCACUGAUUUUGUCACUUGUACCAGCUAACGCAUCUGGGAGGCAACAAAACAAUACUCUCCUGAGGUUAAUGUGGACCAAAAACUAGAUUUCAUAUAAAAGAGUUUAUUCCUUCUACUUGAGGUGUGACAUGAAGGAAAGUAAUGGAAAUAAUUCUGCCCUCCCAUUCUCAAGGGCCAGGGGGAAUUCAAAUAUUGAACGGAAGUGAUUUUGGAAUUGCAUGGAAUUCUCACUGCCAUCCCAAAGAAAUGCUGAUCUUGUCACUCUUACCUGUUUCAUUCCCUGGGGGCAGAACAAAAGGACGCACUCCAAAGAUCGGCAUGAACCAAGAACUGGGUUUCAUAUAAAAUAUUUUAUUCUGUCCUCUUGAGAUGUGACAUGAGAAAAGUAUUGAGAAUACUUCUAUCACCUCAUCUUCAAGAAUCCGUAGGAAUUCUCCCAUGGUGGACUUUACGGUUAACCUGAACAGGUCUUGGAAAAAGGACUUUAAACAUUCUCCUGUUCUGUGGAAUAAGUAUACUUUUUUCUGGACAUACACCUUGUCAGUGAGUUCCAUGUGAUACUAGAGUUGCAUAGAUUUUUAACCUUUACGCCAAUGAAGAUCUGAGGCAAACAUUGCCCCUUUUUUAGAAGUUUGCAUUUGUCACUGAUAACUGUAAUAAUUGAUCUUGUUGAAAAGCCUGGGAAAUGAAGAUCUGAUAUGUCACUUUUACCGGCUUCCUCAACUGAAAAAGAAUACAAUGAAACACGCUGAGAAUUUUUGUGCUUUCUCAGUCUUGCUGAUGAUCUUUCUAUGGGCCUGAAGCGUGGAGAGUGCCAGAGAGGCUGAUCCUCAGCAGUGUGGCAGAGGAAAGUUGGGUGCGACUAAGGGGUAUGCGGUGCCCACAUGCCACUGGGUCCUCAGCAGUACCACCUGAUUGGAAGUGAUAUUGGUGGAAGACAACAUUUUGCCGCUUGGAAUUCUCACCUCCACACCAAAGAAGUACUGUUUUUGUCAUUUGCACCAGCUUCUUUCUCCAGGAAAGAUCAAAACGAUGCACUGCAAGUGUGAUUGGUCCAGAUAGCUGCCUUAUCCAACUGCCUCCUUUGGACCACUUCAUCAUGGGACAGCUUGAUGCAAUCUACUUGACAAGACCCUGGAACCCCACACCCCUCAUGGAACCAGUGUCCACCUCCCAGUCACAGUGUGACCCCAGGGAACUCUUGCCUGCUUGCUUUAAACCCACCACUUAAAAGUCUCCACAGAAAACCUGUUUGAAUAGUACCCUUGACCCAAUAAGGGCAUUGGCCCCUGGGUGUCUCUCUCUCUCUCUCUCUCUCUCUCUCCCUCUCUCUCCCUCUCUCUCUCUCGCUCCCUGACCUCUGCGUGUGGACUCCAGGCAUGCCAUAUACCCCUCAGGACCUGAAGCAAAAGAAUGAAUUAAAGAAAACUCCAGAGAAUGAGCUGACAACCUACUCCCUGGUCAGUGGCUCUCCAUGCCUACCUGUGGUCUCUUGGACACCCUUGCAGAAGAUGACUUCCUGGGAACUCUUCUGGGAGUGAAUGUUAUCAGCAAAUUCCCAAAACAACACCCCUUAGACAAAAAGCCUCCUCACCUAUGCAUUGCCUAGACCACCCACUAAAGGUGAUGGCCACAAAGAGGUGGAUUUGUUGAGUUGGUGCCAUUCCUUCUACUGCCAGCUUCACCAAAACAAUGACACAGUCUUCCUUCCGCAUGGAGACUCUUCUCUUUCCUGUGUUGCAGUGGAUGCCUCCUGCAGAUAAGAAAUGCUUAACUGAGAAAUGCUCAUGUUGGGAUAUCAUCGAUGAGACUUUAAUUUGGGCAUGGUGACUGUUUCCCUUGCUGCCACUUGACUCAAUCCCAGGAGCCUCAGUAGAGGAUAUAAUAUUACACAAGAUGCUCAAAAUGGUGGAAUUGCUCAGUGCUCCCAUAAAUAUACAUUUAUAAUUUUCAUUUGCCACAUGGUAAACUGAAAAAUACAGACUAUAUUAAAAAGAAACUGCAUGAUUUUUUUUCAAAAAUUCAAAGCAUAUUUAAAUAAUAUAUAAAUUAAAUGCCCUCCUCUCUUCCAAUUCUGUCCCUAUAGUUUUCCUCUAUUAAGUGAACUACAUGCAUUCUUUUAGUGGAUAGAUGCACACAAACACACAAGCCAUUAUGGGGAAGGAUCCACGUGUGUGGCCAUAUUGUAACACAUUUUUCUGCAAAUCACCUCUUUCAUUUAACAGCCCUUAUUCAAUGGCCUUUUUCUUUUUCAGUAGUACAUACACAUCUGUGUCAUUUGUUGAAUGACGACAUGAAUGUUUUGUAGAUAAAAUAUAAUUAAAUGUUUUAAGCAUUUCUCACUCAUAGAUAUUUAUGUUAGCACCAAAUUUCUGUGCAAUGAACCUCCCUAUAUAUCAGUAAUUUUGCAUUUGUCUAUAAUAUCAUAAUAAAUUACUUAUCAGUUGAAUUACUGGGAUUAAGUAUGUGCACACUUUAUAUUUAUAUUUUGAAAAUUAUUGCAAGAUUGCCUUCAAAAAUGUGGUUAACAACUUUAUCUUCAAAUGGCAAUGAAUGAGAUUGCCAGCUUUCCUACAGCCUCACAGACAAUGGAUUUUAUAAAUAUUUAACAUUUUUGCCAAUGUGAUCACCCAAACUAUUGUCUUAAAUUGUAUCUCUUUUGUUUUUGAGUUUGGUCAUUUUUUCAUGUUUAUUAGCCAUCUGUAUUUUUUAAUUUCUUCUUUAUGUCCAAUUUUGUGGGUGGGAGGAGGAUUUAGUCUCUUCCUGAUUUCGAAGAGCUCAUUUACUAUUUCGGGAAAUAAGAUUUGGAUUGUCAACCAUUAUAGCUAUUUUUUACACACUUUUCAACUUUGUUUUUGUUAUAAGAAUGUGUAUGAUUGUUACAUGUCCAAGUAUAACCAUGUUCGCUUUUAUGGCUUCUGAGUUUCAUGUCAUUUUUGGAAAGAUAUAUAUAUUGAGUCCAUAAAACCCUUCACCUAUGUUAAAUUCUAAUUCUUUUGUGUUUUUUUAAUUCAAAUUCUUAAAUCAUGAGAAAUUUUUUUGUUUUGAAAUCUUAAAGUUGCCAAGUUACUUGCCAUUACUUGCGAUUAUUUGCCAAUAAUUGCCCAUUUAUCUGUACCGCCAUCUUGCGCAUAUGCUGUACUCUCAUCUGUGACUGGCUCCAUUUUUGUUCUGUGGAUUUGUGUGUCUCUUCUUCUGCCUCCUGUCUCGUGUCUGCUCGUUGGAAGAAAUUACAGUUUAGACUGCAAUUUCAUCAACUUUAAUAAAUCAAUUGAGGGGAGAAUUGGUUUUUAAAAAUAUUAAGUAAGUCUUCGUAUCCAAGGACAAGGUAUGUCUUUUCUUAUUCAAUAAUUUUAAUUACUGUUAAUAUUUUCACUGUGGUGAUGGGAGUUUUUCUUUUAAUUUAUUUUCUUGUUCAUUUUUUGUAUCUAAAGUUUUUGUUUUGUUUUGUUUUGGGGGUAAGUUGUCACCUUACUGUUUCUUGUUGCUUUUCAGAUUUUUUCAAAGUAUAGACUAAAUCCUUCACAAAUAUUUAAAGUUUUUAUUUUCCCCCUUCAUAUUGAUCCUGAUUUUAGUUAUGUUGACAAAGUCCACAGACUGUUACUAUCAGAACACUUGAACAGUUAUGGAAAUAUUACCUACCCUUGAUUUAAUCAGAGUUUAAUGGUAUGCUUCUUUGGUUUGACUGGCACAUUGUCGCUGGUCAUUUCCUCCCAAAGACCACCAGAAAGAGCUAUGAUCAAGCAAAGCUGAGUUUGUUAAACUUACCUGCAGCAAGGGAAAACACCACCUUGAUAGGGUUUAAUAAUGUUUCAAAAUCAAGAAAUGAGGCUUUGGGGUCUGGGCAGGGAACUAAUUAGAAAUGGGCAAAAUUUGUCAUGCAAUACCUUGUGGGAAAGUGAGAUGAGGUUCUUAAUGUGAGUAUUGAUGGUGAAAUCAUUUUCUAGGUGAGCUGUUUGCCUAUAUAAAGAUGUUAUCAAUGACAGAAGAACUAUUUGCCUAGAUAAACAAACUGAAUUUAUUUAUUGGUUUACAGUUUUAUCUUGCUGGGCAGGACUCUGCUGGGGGUGGUAUCAGGUCUUAUUCCCAAUAGGUAAGUUAUUUGGAUAUGGGUGGUCUUAAUCAUCAAUGUGUAAAAUGCUGAUUUUAAGUGCGAAAUACUUUGUCUACCAUGUUAGGAAAGUCUGCCACCUUUUAUCUUUUUUAAGGAAUUUUAAUCAAAACCAGGUGGUAGAUAUAAUCAAAUUGUUUUGCAGAAUCAAUUUUCCUGUUCUCUUUAAAGACUUUUAUCACUGUGAAUUAAUUUACUAUUAUUGCAACUUCCUUUAAUUCCUUGAAUGAACAGACCCUACUGGUUUUAAAAAUGUUUUAUUCUUUUAAUUUACUACUUAAUUGUGGGUAUUUUAAUUUGAUUUGGAAUUUUUACAAGUAUACAACUAAGUGAAAUUGAUCUGUGAUUUUUCUUUUUUGUGCUAUUUUUGUCAUGUUUUGAUAUCAGAUAUUCUGGUUGUGUUAAAAUAAUUUUGAGGAUUUUCUUCUUAUACUGUGUUCUAGAGUGGGUAAAAAAGCCCUAGUCUCACUAUCAGUGUUUAAGUGAACACAUCAGUGACAUCAUCUGGACUCUCCUUUGUUUUUGCUGGUUUGGAGUUAGGACAUCUAGAAGUUUUUUUCUUUUUUUCCUUUUUUUGUAUGGUUAUUGCUUGUUCUUUGUUUUGUGUCAAAUUUAACCUGUUUUCUCUUAGCAAAUCACAGCUCAUGCAGAUUUUCAAACACAUUAGCCUUGUUAUACAAAGUGUUCUUUCAUCAUUCUAUUAAAUUUCCAUUUUCAUUCCAGUUAUAGUUAUUUCUGCUGUGCCUUUGUUAAUGAAUAAGUUUAAACAGUGGAUGUUUAGCAUCACUAGCCUUCCCCUUCCAUCUCCCUUAAUCAGGACCUUGGUAUAAUUUAUCAGGUAUUUUUUAAGGUUCUAAUUUACUUAUAUAUAUUGUUUCUGUAUUCUUUUGUUUCUUUUCUUAAUAAAUUCUUAAA